rnacentral:tRNA from 1 species
GCACCAUUAGCUCAGCUGGCAGAGCACCUGACUCUUAAUCAGGGUGUCCGGGGUUCGAUCCCCCGAUGGUGUACCA